AAAUAUUAAAUUGUUAUUAUUAAUUUAAUAGGAAUAUUAAUUUUUUAUUGUUAUAGAUUUAAUUGGUUACGAUAGGGAAGAGUAUUGUGAGAGAUUUUUGAAAAAUUGAAAAUUAAUUUUUAUAAAAGUUAUCUAGUGUACCUUUUGUAUAAGGGAUUAACUAUAAAAUUUAAAUAUUUAUUAUUCCCGAAAUGCUUUGAGCUACUAAUAAGAUAAUGUAUUGUUUUAUAAAUAUAUUGAAUUAUUUGUAGAAAUGAAAUUUUAUUCGAAAGGUUUGAUAUCUGGUUAUAUUAAAAGAAAUUUUAUAUUUUAGAUAAUUGAUUUAUUUUUGUAAAAUUAUUGAUUUAUUUUUUAGGGAUAAGCUUAGAAAAGUUAUAUAAAUAAUAUUGAGUGUCAUUGAGGGUUUAAAAUUUACUUAUUAUUUGUAAUAAAAUAAUGAAUGAGGAGAAAAUUUUUAUAGAUAGUUGUUUUAUAUAAUUUUUAUUAAAAGUAUGAAUGUUAAUAUUAGUAUAAGUUUGGAGAUGUUAUAAAUUUAAAUGCUAAUGAGUUUGGAUAUUAAAUUUAUAGGAACUAGGCAAUUCAAAUUUUUGAAUGUUUAACAAAAACAUAGUAUUUUGAGAUAAUAAAAUAUGAGACCUGCUCAAUGAGGUUAAAUUGCUGUGGUAUUUUGACUAUACGAAGGUAUUGAAAUAAGGCUUUUAUUGAGUGCUAAGAGAAUGGUUCUACAAAGAUUGACUUUCUUUAAAUUUUUAAUAUAAGUUAAUUUAAAAGUGAAAAAGCUUUUAUGAAUUUUUGGGACAAGAAGACCCUAUGAAUUUUGUUUAGAAUUUUAUUUAUAGCUUAUAGGAAAAUAAGUUAAAUAAAAUUUUAAGUUGAUUGGGGUGAUUUUUAAAGAAUAGGUAUCUUUAAAGUAUUGUAGAAAGUUGGUCCAAAAUUUUUGAUUGUUUGAAAAAAAUACUCUAGGGAUAACAGCGUAAUUAUUUUGGAUAGUUCAUAUAGAUAAAGUAGUUUGCGACCUCGAUGUUGGAUUAAGAUGCUUAUAUAAUGCAGAAGUUAUAUUAAGGAGUUUGCUCAACUUUUAAAUUCUUACAUGAUCUGAGUUCAGACCGGCGAGAGCCAGGUCGGUUUCUAUCUAAAUAGAUAUUGAGAUUAUUAUAGUACGAAAGGAAUUAAUGAUUUAAAAUUUUUAUUUGAAUAAAUUUAGAAAAU
rnacentral:rRNA from 1 species